UUGGUGUCUUUGUUAGUUGAAAAAGCUUAAGUUUUGGUGACUUUAAUAGUGAACUAGUGUUUAGAAGGUGAUGUUGUUGGUGACUUUAUUUGUUGAAAAUGCUUAAAUUUUGGUGACUUUAAUAGUGAAUUAGUGUUUAGGAGGUGAUGUGGUUGGUGACUAUUAUUAGUUAAAAAUGCUCAAGUUUUGGUGACUUUAAUAGUGAAUGUGUUUAGGGGGUGAUGUGGUUGGUGACUUUAUUAGUUGAAAAUGCUUAAGUGCCGGUGACUUUAAUAGUGAAUUAGUUUCGUUGGUGCCUUUGUUAGUUAAAAAACCUUAAGUUUUGGUGACUUUAAUAGUGAAUUAGUGUUUAGGAGGUGAUGUGGUUGGUGACUUUAUUAGUUGAAAAUGCUUAAGUGCCGGUGACUUUAAUAGUGCAUUAGUUUCGUUGGUGCCUUUGUUAGUUAAAAAACCUUAAGUUUUGGUGACUUUAAUAGUGAAUUAGUGUUUAGGAGGUGAUGUGGUUGGUGACUUUAUUAGUUGAAAAUGCUUAAGUGCCGGUGACUUUAAA
rnacentral:lncRNA from 1 species